rnacentral:rRNA from 1 species
UACGUAGGCAGCAAGCGUUGUUCGGAGUUCCUGGGCGUAAAGGGUGCGUAGGCUGUCCUUUAAGUCUGAUGUGAAAGCCCACGGCUCAACCGUGGAGGGUCAUUGGAAACUGGGGGACUUGAGUGCAGGAGAGAAGAGUGGAAUUCCACGUGUAGCGGUGAAAUGCGUAGAGAUGUGGAGGAACACCAGUGGCGAAGGCGACUUACUGGACACAUAUUGACGCUGAGGUGCGAAAGCGUGGGGAGCAAACAGG